UACGUAGGGUGCAAGCGUUGUCCGGAAUUAUUGGGCGUAAAGAGCUCGUAGGCGGUUUGUCGCGUCGGCUGUGAAAACUCGGGGCUCAACCCCGAGCCUGCAGUCGAUACGGGCAGACUAGAGUGCGGUAGGGGAGACUGGAAUUCCUGGUGUAGCGGUGAAAUGCGCAGAUAUCAGGAGGAACACCAAUGGCGAAGGCAGCUCGCUGGGACGGUACUGACGCUGAGACGCGAAAGCGUGGGGAGCAAACAGG
rnacentral:rRNA from 1 species